GCCGAGCUCAGUAACGUGGGCUUGUAACCCAAGUGGGGGCAUUAAUGUGGUGGAAUAUUGGGCCUGUUCAGAUGGCAGGGUUUGGGUGGCUAAUUUCUGGCCUGCCCUAUCCAAGCUCAGAGUUGGGUCAUGUGGCCCAAACGAAGGUAUGGGCCCGCUUGGCUCCUAAAGUGGAGUGGACCGCGUGAGGCUGGUUUCACAGAACAACGAAUAGCUCCCGCUCUGUGCAGUGGAAGGAUAACGGGUCGAUGUCAUCUAAGCCCAAUAAAUGCCUGAUGGGCUGCUCUAAUUAAACCACCACUUUU
rnacentral:SRP_RNA from 1 species